rnacentral:piRNA from 1 species
UAAAUGGGGAGCCCUUACACUCAUGGC